UUAAAUUUGGAGACCAUGUAUUUAAAUGGCUACCCUCAUACACUGUCCAUAGAAGAUGGAUAGAAACAUUCUCUAAACAGAAGUUGGUAAUAACCUCAGGUCUUUAUUUCAAAUCCACUGUGCUUGUGUACAGAGCAAAAACAAUAAAAUAUGUGUUGGCCCCAAUACUUACAGAGCACACUGUAGAUGUGUUAACUGGUUCCCGGAUUUGAAUUUCUGUGUCACAUGUCACUCUAGCAAAAGGAAAAUCUUUGUUUCCCCUUGUUUUUGUUUUGUAAGACUGUUAUUCAGUCUCAAUAAAGUGCCUAAUCUGUUUUGUAAUUUCAUAGCCUCAAAUGAUAAUUAUUUUUUAUUGCAGGUAUGGUCAGAAAUUGACCAUGCAUCUCCUUCAACCAGCGAAUGUGUACCACCACUGGAAAGAACAGAGAGUGUAUUUGUUGCCUUCCAAAACAACAUGGACACAGAUUCCAGCUCUGCAGAAGAUGGGAAUGUGUCCCACUCCAAUCCCAAAUUUAAAAAACAAAUGCUUGGAUAUGAUUCUGAAGACUCACUAAGCAGCAUGGAAAUAACAGAGGAUGAAUAUGUGCCAGGUUCAGAUUGUGAAAGUGAGACCAGCUCAGAUGGAGGCAGUAUAUUAAAGAAAAAUGCUGCCACCAUGGCCAGUCCUGCUGUUACAGAUGGA